CCUACGGGAGGCAGCAGUGGGGAAUAUUGGACAAUGGGCGAAAGCCUGAUCCAGCAAUGCCGCGUGAGUGAUGAAGGCCUUAGGGUUGUAAAGCUCUUUUACCCGGGAUGAUAAUGACAGUACCGGGAGAAUAAGCCCCGGCUAACUCCGUGCCAGCAGCCGCGGUAAUACGGAGGGGGCUAGCGUUGUUCGGAAUUACUGGGCGUAAAGCGCGCGUAGGCGGCUUUGUAAGUUAGAGGUGAAAGCCCGGAGCUCAACUCCGGAACUGCCUUUAAGACUGCAUCGCUAGAAUUGUGGAGAGGUGAGUGGAAUUCCGAGUGUAGAGGUGAAAUUCGUAGAUAUUCGGAAGAACACCAGUGGCGAAGGCGACUCACUGGACACAUAUUGACGCUGAGGUGCGAAAGCGUGGGGAGCAAACAGGAUUAGAUACCCCAGUAGUC
rnacentral:rRNA from 1 species